GACUACGAGUGAAAGCACUAGCGCGCGCCCAGCGCGGAGAAGAUACACGAGGCUGAGCUGCGGAGACAACGCGGCGACGAGGAGGAAGACGAGGCGCCUCAAUGCGGGCCGAUCCGGAUCCGCAACCUGGAGGACCUGAUCCGGCAGCUGGAGCACCACUCCAGCCGGCACAUGAGCCCGUCCGGCUCCGAGGACAUCCGCAUGUCCGAGACCGAGGCCGACCGCCACUACCGGAUCGAGCCCGGGGAAGUCCCACCUCGUGUCUCGCCUUCCAGCCGCUGCCGCGGGCGCAUGCCCGGCGAGGAAGAAUCGCGGUUCGGCUACCCGCGC